rnacentral:rRNA from 1 species
GAAUUAGGGUUCGAUUCCGGAGAGGGAGCCUGAGAAACGGCUACCACAUCUAAGGAAGGCAGCAGGCGCGCAAAUUACCCAAUCCUAAUACAGGGAGGUAGUGACAAGAAAUAACAAUACAGGACUUUUUGGUUUUGUAAUUGGAAUGAGUUAAGUAUAAACCCCUUUACAAGUAUCAAUUGGAGGGCAAGUCUGGUGCCAGCAGCCGCGGUAAUUCCAGCUCCAAUAGCGUAUAUUAAAGUUGUUGCAGUUAAAAAGCUCGUAGUUGGAUUUCUGUUAAUAAUUUAUAUAAAAUAUUUUGAUGAAUAUUUAUAUAAUAUUAACAUAAUUCAUAUUACUAUAUAUUUUAGUAUAUGAAAUUUUACUUUGAGAAAAUUAGAGUGCUUAAAGCAGGCAUAUGCCUUGAAUACUCCAGCAUGGAAUAAUAUUAAAGAUUUUUAUCUUUCUUAUUGGUUCUAAGAUAAGAAUAAUGAUUAAUAGGGACAGUUGGGGGCAUUUGUAUUUAACAGUCAGAGGUGAAAUU